AAAACGACUCUCGGCAACGGAUAUCUCGGCUCACGCAUCGAUGAAGAACGUAGCAAAAUGCGAUACUUGGUGUGAAUUGCAGAAUCCCGUGAACCAUCGAGUUUUUGAACGCAAGUUGCGCCCAAAGCCAUCCGGUUGAGGGCACGUCUGCCUGGGCGUCACGC
rnacentral:rRNA from 2 species